AGUGAACGCUGGCGGUAGGCCUAACACAUGCCAGUCGAACGGCAGCACAGUAAGAGCUUGCUCUUACGGGUGGCGAGUGGCGGACGGGUGAGGAAUACAUCGGAAUCUACUUUUUCGUGGGGGAUAACGUAGGGAAACUUACGCUAAUACCGCAUACGACCUACGGGUGAAAGCAGGGGAUCUUCGGACCUUGCGCGAUUGAAUGAGCCGAUGUCGGAUUAGCUAGUUGGCGGGGUAAAGGCUCACCAAGGCGACGAUCCGUAGCUGGUCUGAGAGGAUGAUCAGCGACACUGGAACUGAGACACGGUCCAGACUCCGACGGGAGGCAGCAGUGGGGAAUAUUGGACAAUGGGCGCAAGCCUGAUCCAGCCAUACCGCGUGGGUGAAGAAGGCCUUCGGGUUGUAAAGCCCUUUUGUUGGGAAAGAAAAGCAGCAGGUUAAUACCCCGCUGUUCUGACGGUACCCAAAGAAUAAGCACCGGCUAACUUCGUG
rnacentral:rRNA from 1 species